GAAAAAGCUUAUUUCGUCAUUUUGGCAUCCACCAGCAGGGACACUGCUAACCAGCCAAAUCUUGACCUCUGGUCUUCAUCAGAUCACACAUGUGUGUUUCUAAUCCUGUGGUAAUUAUAUUUUCCAUGUGUUUGUGUGUUUUGACCUCUCUCCAAUCUGAACUAUUGGAAAUCAAUAGUAGUGGAAUCAGCCAAUCAGAGGCCAUUAGCGCCACAGGAUCCUUUCAUUUCUUCUUCUCUCUCUUACACAGUCAUCUGCUGAUCACUCAUUUUCUCCCUCCAUCACUGCAGGGGUCAGAGGUCAGCUGUGCCAGUCGUGAACAUGUGCGCCUGUGUGAGAGAUAGGUGAAGGAGGAGUUUAUUUUUAGAUCCGCUCAGGUAGAGUCGACAGGGAGGAAAACAGAGACUCCAGCGGCUUUGUUUCACAACCAAGGACUCGGAUCUCAAGAGACGUUUAAAGGCAAAAAGCUGAACGGAGGAUUUAAAAAAGUGUGAUGAGUCUGAGCUACAGAUGGACAUCAAGGACACACACACGCAGACAAGGACGACGCAGCAUUCAGUGAAUGUGUCUUCAGAGGAUCAUACAGAGAGUGUAGAGCUUCCUGAAGGACUUAGAUGGGCCGCAUGAACAAAAUCACAUCCAGUAUCACUCAUUUUAUCUCAG
ensembl:lncRNA